rnacentral:rRNA from 1 species
GCCGGGCGACGGUUGUCCCGGUUUAAGCAUGUAGGCUGGUUAUCCAGGCAAAUCCGGAUAAUCAAGGCUGAGGUGUGAUGACGAGGCACUACGGUGCUGAAGUAACAAAUGCCCUGCUUCCAGGAAAAGCCUCUAAGCAUCAGGUAACAUCAAACUACGUACCCCAAACCGACACAGGUGGUCAGGUAGAGAAUACCAAGGCGCUUGAGAGAACUCGGGUGAAGGAACUAGGCAAAAUGGUGCCGUAACUUCGGGAGAAGGCACGCUGGUGUGUAGGUGAAGUCCCUGCGGAUGGAGCUGAGACCAGUCGAAGAUACCAGCUGGCUGCAACUGUUUAUUAAAAACACAGCACUGUGCAAACACGAAAGUGGACGUAUACGGUGUGACGCCUGCCCGUGCCGGAAGGUUAAUUGAUGGGGUUAUCC